UGGGGAAUAUUGGACAAUGGGCGCAAGCCUGAUCCAGCCAUGCCGCGUGAGUGAUGAAGGCCCUAGGGUUGUAAAGCUCUUUCACCGGUGAAGAUAAUGACGGUAACCGGAGAAGAAGCCCCGGCUAACUUCGUGCCAGCAGCCGCGGUAAUACGAAGGGGGCUAGCGUUGUUCGGAAUUACUGGGCGUAAAGCGCACGUAGGCGGACAUUUAAGUCAGGGGUGAAAUCCCGGGGCUCAACCCCGGAACUGCCUUUGAUACUGGGUGUCUCGAGUCCGGAAGAGGUGAGUGGAAUUCCGAGUGUAGAGGUGAAAUUCGUAGAUAUUCGGAGGAACACCAGUGGCGAAGGCGGCUCACUGGUCCGGUACUGACGCUGAGGUGCGAAAGCGUGGGGAGCAAACAGG
rnacentral:rRNA from 1 species